UACGGAGGGGGCGAGCGUUGUUCGGAAUUACUGGGCGUAAAGCGUGCGCAGGCGGCUUUGCAAGACAGAUGUGAAAUCCCCGGGCUCAACCUGGGAACUGCAUUUGUGACUGCAUGGCUAGAGUACGGUAGAGGGGGAUGGAAUUCCGCGUGUAGCAGUGAAAUGCGUAGAUAUGCGGAGGAACACCGAUGGCGAAGGCAAUCCCCUGGACCUGUACUGACGCUCAUGCACGAAAGCGUGGGGAGCAAACAGG
rnacentral:rRNA from 1 species